UACGUAGGUGGCAAGCGUUAUCCGGAAUUAUUGGGCGUAAAGCGCGCGUAGGCGGUCUGUUAAGUCUGAUGUGAAAGCCCACGGCUCAACCGUGGAGGGUCAUUGGAAACUGGAAGACUUGAAUGCAGAAGAGGAAAGUGGAAUUCCAUGUGUAGCGGUGAAAUGCGCAGAGAUAUGGAGGAACACCAGUGGCGAAGGCGGCUCUCUGGUCUGCAACUGACGCUGAGGCGCGAAAGCGUGGGUAGCAAACAGG
rnacentral:misc_RNA from 1 species